GUUUCUUACAUCCAGUUAACCAACAAAAAGCUCGAAGUGUAUCUGUGACUAAAGUGAUAGAGAAGCCAAUCCUGAGUGGAAAAGAUAGGGACAGCACCCAGACCCUGAAUUCAAGCCCUAGUACCAAUGAACACACAUGCACACACGUGCACACAAACACACAAAACUAUCUUAACUAACAUACAUACAAUGACUAGUGUAGAAGUUUGAGGUUGCCAAUUUUCAGGUACUUCUCUGCGAAAUCUUUAUGAUCAUUUUGAAAGCUAUACAGUGUUAUGCCAAAAAUAAAUUUUGCAAGGAUGAUUGAAAGAAAAUUUAAAAUUUGUAUAUGUAGUAUUCCAUUUAUUUAGAGGUCAUUGUUUCAAAAUCUGGUCUUUGAAAAUUUUAGACCCAAAAUUAGACCAAAAGAAGAAAAAAAAUACCACCUUAAAUUCUUAGCACUAAAAUCAUCUACUUAUUCAUUCUUACUCUGUUUUAGUUUUCAUUUAGCCACAGUUCAGAAAGUAUAGUUAACCAGUAUUCCAUUCUUCAACAGGCUAGAAACAGAAAGCAUUAAAAGGUGGGUUGGGAAGAUGGAGACAGGAGGCAUUUAUAGAUAGGAUAAUUACAAUGAAUGACAGCUGUAUAAUUUUCUUUGAGAAAUAAAAAGGGAAAAAAUUAAUGUGUACAAAAUUAGCUAUCUAUAAUAAUUCUGUAUUUUUAAGAAAUCUAUAUUUCUUAUCUGAAUAAAAAAUAAAUGUACCAUACAUUAAAGAAUAAAUGUGUCCAAGCUGUUUGAUUUUUAGAGUUUUAUAUCUGAAUUAUUAACCUUCAGUAUCCUAAAAAUGACACCUAUGAAACACAUCUAUCCCUUUAUCUAGCCCCAGAUAUGCUACAAAAAAAACACAGCAUCAUUAUACUUUAAAAUCUAUUUACAUAUCUUAAAUUUUUGUCUCAUAUCUAUACCAGAUUGGGCUUUUUAAUGGCUGCUGGCAUUUUAUGUUUGUUAAUAAACAUAAUAGUGAAAAUUAUCUAUUCAAUAAUAAAGAGACUUUCUAAAAUGCAUUUGAAAGGAUCAAAUAAGUAGUAAAGUUACUUCAACAAAGUGAGGGUGAAUGCUUUUUCUGUUUAUAACACGCACACACACAAUUACAAAAUUUCUUAAAGGCAUAUUUGUAUGUAUAAAUUUUGCAAGUAUGCCCUUAAUAAAUUUAAAAAUAAUACUCAUUCAUAAUAUUGCAACAUUUUGUUAUAUUCCUUGGCAAACAUAAUUUGUUAUAAAAUAGAGCUAUGAAUCAGUAAUACAAAAGAUACGUAAAAUAAUACAUUUUGGAGUAGAACUUUUUUGUUAAAAUCAGAGUCCAUUUGGAGUGAACUGAAUAUGUCCACUUAAAAUCUGCAUAUUACAUUAGAUCAUUUAACAGUGUUUAAAAUUGCCAACUCCAGAAGAUGGAUUUCAACUUCAUUCCUGAUGGCAAUGAAUUUCCUUCUUCUGAAUUU